GCUAAUACCGCAUAAGCGCACGGAGCCGCAUGGCGCAGUGUGAAAAACUCCGGUGGUAUGGGAUGGAUCCGCGUCUGAUUAGCUAGUUGGCGGGGUAACGGCCCACCAAGGCAGCGAUCAGUAGCCGACCUGAGAGGGUGGCCGGCCACAUUGGGACUGAGACACGGCCCAAACUCCUACGGGAGGCAGCAGUGGGGAAUAUUGCACAAUGGGGGAAACCCUGAUGCAGCAACGCCGCGUGAGUGAAGAAGUAUUUCGGUAUGUAAAGCUCUAUCAGCAGGGAAGAAGAAAGACGGUACCUGACUAAGAAGCCCCGGCUAACUACGUGCCAGCAGCCGCGGUAAUACGUAGGGGGCGAGCGUUAUCCGGAUUUACUGGGUGUAAAGGGAGCGUAGACGGUUUUUCAAGUCUGAAGUGAAAGCCCGCGGCUCAACUGCGGAACGGCUUUGGAAACUGAGGGACUAGAGUGCUGGAGGGGCAGGCGGAAUUCCUGGUGUAGCGGUGAAAUGCGUAGAUAUCAGGAGGAACACCGGUGGCGAAGGCGGCCUGCUGGACAGUAACUGACGUUGAGGCUCGAAAGCGUGGGGAGCAACAGGAUUAGAUACCCUGGUAGUCCACGCGGUAAACGAUGAAUGCUAGGUGU
rnacentral:rRNA from 1 species